GUGCUUUCUUUACAGCACAGAUACCAAAAUAAGAACGAUACAGAGCAGAUGGGCAUGGCCCCUGAAAGGAAGAUGUGCAAAUUCAUGAAGUCUUCUAUAGUAAA